rnacentral:rRNA from 1 species
AUGCAGGGGAUGGCACUGGCCAUCCAGCACUGUGAUCUCCCUGUCAUUGUUCAGUCGGAUUUUUCCAUCGCCCUCUCUGCCCUGUCGGACGAGAGCUUAUCUAGAUCGGCUUAUGGACACCUGGUCACUGAGAUUCGUCAUCUGAUGAUAGAUAGAGAGUUUAUUGCCUUCAAAAUCAGUCGUUUGCAGAAUAGGGUAGCAGAUCGAUUGGCCCUGUAUAGUCGUACAGAGAGUAUUACGGCUGUGUGGCUGGGCCGAGGUCCACCGUGUGUGGAGGACCUCUUGCCGCUUGAUGUAACCCUUCACCUCUGGAAUAAAUCUCUUCUACUAGCGCAAAAAAAAAAAAACAAGUAA